UACGUAGGGGGCAAGCGUUGUCCGGAAUUAUUGGGCGUAAAGAGCGCGUAGGCGGUCCGGUAAGUCGGUUGUGAAAGUCGGGGGCUCAACCCUCGGAUGCCGAUCGAUACUGUCGGGCUAGAGUCCGGAAGAGGCGAGUGGAAUUCCUGGUGUAGCGGUGAAAUGCGCAGAUAUCAGGAGGAACACCAAUGGCGAAGGCGGUUCUCUGGGCAUGUCCUGACGCUGAGGAGCGAAAGUGUGGGGAGCGAACAGG
rnacentral:rRNA from 1 species